GACGAACGCUGGCGGCGUGCCUAACACAUGCAAGUCGAGCGGAGAUUGCAGUAAUGCAAUCUUAGCGGCGGACGGGUGAGUAACGCGUGGGGAAUCUGCCUCAUACUGGGGGAUAACACAGGGAAACUUGUGCUAAUACCGCAUAACAUCACACCAUGGCAUCAUGGAGUGAUCAAAGGAGAAAUCCGGUAAGAGAUGACCCCGCGUCCGAUUAGCUAGUUGGUGAGGUAAAGGCCCACCAAGGCGACGAUCGGUAGCCGAACUGAGAGGUUGAUCGGCCACAUUGGGACUGAGACACGGCCCAGACUCCUACGGGUGGCAG
rnacentral:rRNA from 1 species